UUGUAGUUGUCUCAAGUGUGAAUGGUGGGCCUCAGAAAUUUAGCAUUACAUUGGCCUCUGCUUCUGUAACACCGAAUCUAGAAAUGAUACAGUGUUAUUUUCAUUUAUUUAGAAAGAGAAGGAGAUUCAGCACUAAUAAUUUGAGGAGGUCCCAUCUCAAGACCAGAAUUUGUGAAAGGACACCACAUGAAAAGAAGAUAGCUUUGACCUUCCGUCGUCUUCUUGACGGACGCCAUCUGCUACUCUGGAUUUACGGACUGAAAACUGACUACGGGCUCGCUUUCUCCUAUUGGACUUGGAAAACUGCAAACGUCUGAUUCUGCCUCUCGACCUUCGGAACGAAUUGGGACUACGCUACUGCUUCAAUCCUUGGCUGUUGAGUUUGUAUUGGAAAUUUGCCUUGCUGUGUGAAGGAGUGACUCCUAGUUACUCAAAACAUAGUGCUGGCAGCAGAGAAUUAUCUGCUGCCAAUUAGUUGCAUUCUUUUGAACUCUUUGUUUCCCAGCUUCUGUUUGUUUUUCCCCAGGCUGAAGCAAGCUGUUUUGAUUUUACCCGGAUUAAACUCCGGUUUAAUCCGGUUUAUCUUUUGAACGUUUUUUCUUGCCCCUUUUUGUUUUUAAAGGCUAAGUUGCCUUGCCCUUGUCUUUUACGGGCAUUUUGAGUUCUGUAAAUCCAAUAAACUCUGUUAUCUUUGAUCUUGUGGCGUUCUGUCCUUGACAAUUACAGUUAAAUACUAAUGUCUUAACAAUGUGCAACUGUUGCCAUUUCCUUAACACUUUCAUUUUAUAAGUAGCUAAUUAAUCUUUUGUUUUUAAAAAUAACUUUUUCAUAACUAUUGUACAUAAAAGAUCACAUAAAAUGGUAAGAUGAAAAAUAUUUUGUUAUGCCAGUUCUAAAGAAGACAAUAAACAAAAUUAAUAGGACUUUAAU
rnacentral:lncRNA from 11 species